ACAUCCAGCUUGAAUGCAAGACCACUAAGUAAGAGAGAUGGCCAGAGUGCGAAGGACCAGCAGCUGCUGCAUCUUAGGAGACCUCUAAACUCUACAAGGUGCAACAUGGCCUAUAGAUGAAGGACAUUAUCUUCAGUCCAUUGUUAUGCCUGGAACUACAGUAAGACCAAACUAUGAGCCAAGAGGAGCUGAUUUGGGGUGCAUUCUCCUUGAUGAUUCUGGGGGCCCUUAUCAGCAUGUGCAUGAAAUGUCAGCAGAUCGGGAGUAAACAGGAGAAGACAAAUGUGGACAGUCAGAAAACUCAAUGUGAAGACCAACAGGAUUUUGAUGAACUUCCCCAUUUAAGUUCAAUGUCAAAACAGCCCCAGAUGGGAGGGACAUACAAUAUGCCAAGACAAAGGUAGAUUAUGCAAUAGCCAUAGAAUAUUUUGGUGCCCUCAAAAUAUGGAAGUCAAAUACAGCCCUGCAGUUUAUCCAAUAUAAUUGUAGGGUCCAAAUUUGGGGGAAGGGGCUGAUUUUGGGGAGGGGUCCUGCUUCUGUGUUAAACAAUCUCCAAAGCAACUAGCAGAUGAUGAUGAUGAUGAUGAUGAUGAUGAUGAUACCCAGAGACAGCAGAAUCAGGAAAACUGAAUUGGAAAAAAUUAUAAAAUAUAGAAAUUUAACAAUCAAAAUAGGCAGAUCAUGGAAAAGAUUUUACAAAGUCAUUGCUAUGCACUAGGUAGAAUAACAAACAGAUUAAGUGAAUUUUCACAAUAACUAUAUUCUGGCUAUAUCAGCUAUGGAUUUCCCAAA